rnacentral:ncRNA from 1 species
UUUAAACGACAAUGGAUGUGAUGCCAAUGUAAUUUGUAACAUAGUAAAUUGGGAGGAUCUUUGAUCACCUGGUGCCAUGCUAGUUACAUAUGAAAACAUUAUUUAAUACAAUGACAAAGCCUAGAAUCAAUUGUAAACGACUUUUGUAACGGGCAAGGUGUUGUAAGUGGUUGAGCAGCUGCCAUACUGCGAUCCACUGAAGCUUAUCCUUUGCUUGAUGAUUCGA